GGGGAUGUGUGUUUACAGACUUGCUGUUAGAGGUAUCCAGGGGGAUGUGUGUUUACAGACUCUUGCUGUUAGAGGUAUCCAGUGGGAUGUGUGUUUACAGACUCUUGCUGUUAGAGGUAUCCAGGGGGAUGUGUGUUUACAGACUCUUGCUGUUAGAGGUAUCCAGGGGGAUGUGUGUUUACAGACUCUUGCUGUUAGAGGUAUCCAGUGGGAUGUGUGUUUACAGACUCUUGCUGUUAGAGGUAUCCAGUGGGAUGUGUGUUUACAGACUCUUGCUGUUAGAGGUAUCCAGGGGGAUGUGUGUUUACAGACUCUUGCUGUUAGAGGUAUCCAGUGGGAUGUGUGUUUACAGACUCUUGCUGUUAGAGGUAUCCAGGGGGAUGUGUGUUUACAGACUCUUGCUGUUAGAGGUAUCCAGGGGGAUGUGUG